UACGAAGGGGGCUAGCGUUGUUCGGAAUUACUGGGCGUAAAAGCGCACGUAGGCGGAUAUUUAAGUCAGGGGUGAAAUCCCAGAGCUCAACUCUGGAACUGCCUUUGAUACUGGGUAUCUCGAGUAUGGAAGAGGUAAGUGGAAUUCCGAGUGUAGAGGUGAAAUUCGUAGAUAUUCGGAGGAACACCAGUGGCGAAGGCGGCUCUGGCAUACUGACGUGAGGACGAAGCGUGGGGAGCAAACAGGAUUGAG
rnacentral:rRNA from 1 species